rnacentral:rRNA from 1 species
GAUGAACGCUGGCGGCGUGCCUAAUACAUGCAAGUAGAACGCUGAAGGAAGGAGCUUGCUCUUUCCGGAUGAGUUGCGAACGGGUGAGUAACGCGUAGGUAACCUGCCUGGUAGCGGGGGAUAACUAUUGGACACGAUAGCUAAUACCGCAUAACAGUAGAUGUUGCAUGAUAUCUACUUAAAAGGUGCAAUUGCACCACUACCAGAUGGACCUGCGUUGUAUUAGCUAGUUGGUGAGGUAACGGCUCACCAAGGAGACGAUACAUAGCCGACCUGCGAGGGUGAUCGGCCACACUGGGACUGAGACACGGCCCAGACUCCUGCGGGAGGCAGCAGUAGGGAAUCUUCGGCAAUGGACGGAAGUCUGACCGAGCAACGCCGCGUGAGUGAAGAAGGUUUUCGGAUCGUAAAGCUCUGUUGUAAGAGAAGAACGAGUGUGAGAGUGGAAAGUUCACACUGUGACGGUAUCUGACCAGAAAGAGACGGCUAACUACGUG